rnacentral:rRNA from 1 species
AGUGAACGCUGGCGGUAGGCCUAACACAUGCAAGUCGAACGAGUGGCGGACGGGUGAGGAAUACAUCGGAAUCUACUCUGUCGUGGGGGAUAACGUAGGGAAACUUACGCUAAUACCGCAUACGUUUGAAUGAGCCGAUGUCGGAUUAGCUAGUUGGCGGGGUAAAGGCCCACCAAGGCGACGAUCCGUAGCUGGUCUGAGAGGAUGAUCAGCCACACUGGAACUAAGAAACGGACCAGACUCCUACGGGAGGAAGCAGUGGGGAAUAUUGGACAAUGGUGGCAAGCCUGAUCCAGCCAUACCGAGUGCGUGAAGAAGGCCUUCGGGUUGUAAAGCACUUUUGUUGGGAAAGCGGUACCCAAAGAAUAAGCACCGGCUAACUUCGUGCCAGCCGCCGCGGUAAUUC